UCUAAGCUUUCUCAAAUUUCCUAUAAUACGCUUAUCAUAACUUCCCUCCUCUUUCUAUUUUCACUCUUUUCUCUCUUAAAAUGUCUUUCCUAAACCCAUCUCCUCCACCUCAACGGUUCCCCUUCAUAGCCGACCUUCUUCUCCACCAAGGAAGUCCAAAUCAUCCAAAGUUUACUUUUGGAGCACAAAAUCAAUGGGUUUUUGCAAGGGAAAGCUAGACUAGCUAUGAGUUGGAGAGCUUUGGGGUCGGUGUGUACAUCGGCAGCUUCUCUACUGCCACUACCGAGGGAUUUACAGGGACUAGAGCCAAAAUUGUAUUUUGCCAUUUAGGCUGGCUUCAAUUGUAAUUAAAUUUUGAGGGUUGUAACCACCUUGUAAACAUUACUUUUGGGAUCCCGUGUACCAAACUCUUAUUUUAAUGAAAGCUAACCAUUUUAUGGUCAAA